UACGUAGGGGGCAAGCGUUGUUCGGAAUUACUGGGCGUAAAGGGCGCGUAGGCGGCAUGGCAAGUCGGGAGUGAAAGGCCUGGGCUCAACCCAGGAACUGCUUUCGAGACUGCCAAGCUAGAGUGCGGAAGGGGCAACUGGAAUUCCCAGUGUAGCGGCGAAAUGCGUAGAUAUUGGGAAGAACACCGGAGGCGAAGGCGGGUUGCUGGGCCGACACUGACGCUGAUGCGCGAAAGCCAGGGGAGCAAACGGG
rnacentral:rRNA from 1 species